UGGGGAAUAUUGCACAAUGGGGGAAACCCUGAUGCAGCGACGCCGCGUGAGCGAAGAAGUAUCUCGGUAUGUAAAGCUCUAUCAGCAGGGAAGAAGAUGACGGUACCUGACUAAGAAGCACCGGCUAAAUACGUGCCAGCAGCCGCGGUAAUACGUAUGGUGCAAGCGUUAUCCGGAUUUACUGGGUGUAAAGGGAGCGUAGACGGAGAAGCAAGUCUGGAGUGAAAACCCGGGGCUCAACCCCGGGACUGCUUUGGAAACUGUUUUUCUAGAGUGCCGGAGAGGUAAGCGGAAUUCCUAGUGUAGCGGUGAAAUGCGUAGAUAUUAGGAGGAAUACCAGUGGCGAAGGCGGCUUACUGGACGGUAACUGACGUUGAGGCUCGAAAGCGUGGGGAGCAAACA
rnacentral:rRNA from 1 species